UUAAUAAGAUUAACCUAGUUUUUAUAGUACUAAAUUCAAAUAUAAAUAUGUUUAUUGUUAAUUUUAAUUCUUUCUAUAAUUUUUAUUUAAAAUUAAAAUAAAUAAGAUUGUGAUUACAUUUUUUUUCAUCAUAGGAUUUACAAGAUACUGCUUACAGAAAAAAUCAUUUUAUCAUUGAUAGACACUAUAAUGAGAAGGAGAUGGCAAAUGAUGGAACACACGUUGUAGCAUAGCAAUGAAUUGCAUAGUUUAAUAAUUAGAUGAAUUAUAGAAGAGACGAGAAAAAGAGGAAGUCCUAGAACGAAAUACAUUAGCCAAGUAAAACAAAAUGCAGAGGUUCAAGAACAUGUUAAAUGACAUAGAAAAACAGAGAAGGCAUUUAUUAAGAAAAAUUUGUUAAAAACCAAUCUUCGGAUUGAUCAACAAAAAUUUAAAUAAUUCAUUAAUAUAAAUUUGUCAUUACGUAA